rnacentral:rRNA from 1 species
AACGAACGCUGGCGGCAUGCCUAACACAUGCAAAUCGAACGAGACCUUCGGGUCUAGUGGCGCACGGGUGCGUAACGCGUGGGAACCUGCCCUUAGGUUCGGAAUAACUCCCCGAAAGGGGUGCUAAUACCGGAUAAUGUCUUCGGACCAAAGAUUUAUCGCCUUUGGAUGGGCCCGCGCUGGAUUAGCUAGUUGGUAGGGUAAAAGCCUACCAAGGCGACGAUCCAUAGCUGGUCUGAGAGGAUGAUCAGCCACACUGGGACUGAGACACGGCCCAGACUCCUACGGGAGGCAGCAGUGGGGAAUAUUGGACAAUGGGCGAAAGCCUGAUCCAGCAAUGCCGCGUGAGUGAUGAAGGCCUUAGGGUUGUAAAGCUCUUUUACCCGGGAUGAUAAUGACAGUACCGGGAGAAUAAGCUCCGGCUAACUCCGUG